GGCAGUGUAGUGUGAAGGAAGUAGGUCCGCCAUCAGAAGGGAACCUUCUUGUGAACGGUGUUGCGGCUGCGUCAAACCAGAACACGCUGCUUCUCGUCUCAUCUCUUCCACGGUUUAUGCAGACUGGAGACUGAACAUGUGGGGUUGGCCUCAUAAAUGUCAACGUUUGUGCACGUGAAUGGGUACGCUCAGAAGUAAUUGGUUUGGUCUGCAGAAUCACCGGCGGAACAGCAGAGGACAGGAGAAGAGGGUGAGAGAGGAGGAAGAGAGCCGGCGCUUUGCUUCAGCUCAUUAACCAACGCCUGUUAGCUUGGAAAUAAAUUGGGUUUGGAUGUAAUCAGGUCUGGGCGUGAAUAGUAAAAUUCAUCUCAUCUUUGUCUGAUACUUUUUGAAACCCGACAUGUCAGCUGAAGAGGUCAGCAGAGCAAAGAGACGUCGUCAGUGCUAGCUCAAAAUCCAACGAUUCCCACAUACUUUCUGAAGCUCUUCCUCUGAAGAUUUCUGCCAGAAGCAUGACUAGCUGUCAUUUCCAUUCUCGAGCCUGCUGUGCUACAAGGUUGCCCCAUGCAGAUCGCUCAUGUUUGAUAAAAGCAGCGAAAUGUUUCCUCAUCAGAGGAAAUAUAUUACCCGUUCUGCAUCAAACAAAGAGCGAAGGCUGCGUUCCAGGCUCAGUUGAUCUUGAACUGGCCGCCUCUCUUGUCUUUCUGUGUCACCUCUCCUGAGUGACGUGCAGCCUGACUGGACAUGGCACCGUCGUCUGACUGGAACCAAAUGAGCCGUGAGUAAUGGCAGAGGACGCGGAGCCCAUUGGCUAAUUGUCCUGAAUAAUGAGGCUGGUUCUCCUUUCUGAUUGGUGUUGGAGGUGGGAGGUUAGCUCUCGGCACGUCUAUCUGAAGCGAACAGUGCAAUGUCACUAAAACGGAUUUGUCAGAUGACUGCCGGGGUGACAAAAAGUCAAGCAUUCAUUUUCUUUUCCUCGACACGAGGUCUAUGUUGCAGCACUUGAGCCCUUUGUAGCCUGUUCCUUUAAAUCUCUAUAGGACAUGAAACUCCUGAAGCCUACUGAGAUGAACCUGCACAUUGAAUUGUUAAAUGAACUACAUGCUCACAUAAACAAAGUACUAUUUAUGUAUCUUGUCUAAUCUAUCUAAAAUUAAAAGCAGAUCAGAAA